rnacentral:rRNA from 1 species
UUGACCUCGGAUCAGGUAGGGAUACCCGCUGAACUUAAGCAUAUCAAUAAGCGGAGGAAACUCCUUUACCGAGUGCGGGC